rnacentral:rRNA from 1 species
UACGUAGGGGGCAAGCGUUAUCCGGAUUUACUGGGUGUAAAGGGAGCGUAGACGGCUGUGCAAGCCAGAUGUGAAAGCCCGGGGCCCAACCCCGGGACUGCUCUUGGAACUGUGCGGCUGGAGUGCGGGAGGGGCAGGCGGAAUUCCUGGUGUAGCGGUGAAAUGCGUAGAGAUCGGGAGGAACACCAGUGGCGAAGGCGGCCUACUGGGCUUUAACUGACGCUGAGGCACGAAAGCGUGGGUAGCAAACAGG